AGUUGAGAGUCCGGAGCGUUACUGAGAGCCUGACUCGGCAAAAGCUUUCCCUCCGGUUUGAUAGAGUUUUUCAGACUCUCGACGCGGAGGCCAUGUACCCCUCACUAAACCGUUCACUCGGUAGUAGUGACAGGCGGUGUGUAGAAAGGGCAUCGACGUAAUUACUGGGAAUUCCUCGUUGAUAAGAAGAAUUUCAAGCCCCCAAUCCCUAUCACGAAGGACGUUCAAGGGGUUUGCACAGUUUUCAAAGCAUGGUCACAUCCACCUUGAUUCCUUCUAAAGGCAGCCAGACCUGUUAUUGCUCAAUCUCUUGUGGCUAAACGCCACUUCUCCCUCUAAGAAGUUAGCACCGAUGCGUAAAGAAUCGGUGAACUAUUUAACAGGCUAGAGACUCGCCCGUUGUCAGAAUUAAUCAGACAAAUCGCUCCACCACCUAAGAACGGCCAUGCGCCACCACCCGCCGAAUCAAGAAAAAGAUAGCAAUGUGUCAAUCCUUACAGUGUUCGGACUGGGUGUAUUUAAUCGUCUUCGAACCUCUGACUUUCGUUCUUGCCUAAUGAAAAUAUGCUUGGCAAAUGCUUUCGCAGUUGUUCGUCUUGCGAAGACGACCCUGCGAAGAGCCGCGCUCGCUCAGGCUUCGCGCAGUGACCGUCGCGAGACCGCACGACCAUGCCUGAGAUGCAACUACGAGCUUUUUAAGCACAACGACUUUAAUAUACGCUAUUGGAGCUGGAAUUACCGCGGCUGCUGGCACCAGACUUGCCCUCCAAUAGAUCCUCGUUAAAGGGUUUAAAGUGUACUCAUUCCAAUUGCGGAGCCUCAAAAGAGUUCCGUAUUGUUAUUUUUCGUCACUACCUCCCCGAGCUGGGUAAGUUGCGCGCCUGGUGCCUUCCUUGGAUGUGGUAGCCGUUUCUCAUGCUCCCUCUCAAAUCACACCCUGGUUCCCCGUUACCCGUUGUCAACAUGGUAGGUCUAUCACGUACCAUCGACAGUUGAUAAGGCAGACAUUUGAAAGAUGCCUCGCCGGCUCGAGGCCAUGCGAUCGGCACAAAGUUAUCCAGAGUCAUCAAAAGGGACGGGGCCGAGACCCCGACUGAUUUUGAACUAAUAAAAGCGCUCUUUCCCGGCUUUGACGGGUCGGAGUUGGUUUGCAUGUAUUAGCUCUAGAAUUGCCACAGUUAUCCAAGUAGAAAUGAAUCAUCUAAGGAACCUCGACUGAUUUCAUGAGCCAUUCGCGGUUUCACCGUACGAGGCAUGGCUUAAUCUUUGAGAACAAGCAUAUGACUACUGGUAGGAUCAACCAGAA
rnacentral:rRNA from 1 species